GUCGGCGUGGCGGAACGGUAGACGCGGCAGCCUUAGGAGCUGUUGGGGAAACCCAUGGAGGUUCGACUCCUCUCGCCGACACCA
rnacentral:tRNA from 1 species